GACUUUGGCGGGGGUUCUAUACAUGCAGUCGAGCGAACUGAUUAGAAGCUUGCUUCUAUGACGUUAGCGGCGGACGGGUGAGUAACACGUGGGCAACCUGCCUGUAAGACUGGGAUAACUUCGGGAAACCGAAGCUAAUACCGGAUAGGAUCUUCUCCUUCAUGGGAGAUGAUUGAAAGAUGGUUUCGGCUAUCACUUACAGAUGGGCCCGCGGUGCAUUAGCUAGUUGGUGAGGUAACGGCUCACCAAGGCAACGAUGCAUAGCCGACCUGAGAGGGUGAUCGGCCACACUGGGACUGAGACACGGCCCAGACUCCUACGGGAGGCAGCAGUAGGGAAUCUUCCGCAAUGGACGAAAGUCUGACGGAGCAACGCCGCGUGAGUGAUGAAGGCUUUCGGGUCGUAAAACUCUGUUGUUAGGGAAGAACAAGUACGAGAGUAACUGCUCGUACCUUGACGGUACCUAACCAGAAAGCCACGGCUAACUACGUGCCAGCAGCCGCGGUAAUACGUAGGUGGCAAGCGUUAUCCGGAAUUAUUGGGCGUAAAGCGCGCGCAGGCGGUUUCUUAAGUCUGAUGUGAAAGCCCACGGCUCAACCGUGGAGGGUCAUUGGAAACUGGGGAACUUGAGUGCAGAAGAGAAAAGCGGAAUUCCACGUGUAGCGGUGAAAUGCGUAGAGAUGUGGAGGAACACCAGUGGCGAAGGCGGCUUUUUGGUCUGUAACUGACGCUGAGGCGCGAAAGCGUGGGGAGCAAACAGGAUUAGAUACCCUGGUAGUCCACGCCGUAAACGAUGAGUGCUAAGUGUUAGAGGGUUUCCGCCCUUUAGUGCUGCAGCUAACGCAUUAAGCACUCCGCCUGGGGAGUACGGUCGCAAGACUGAAACUCAAGGAAUUGACGGGGGCCCGCACAAGCGGUGGAGCAUGUGUUUAAUUCGAAGCAACGCGAGACCUUACCAGGUCUUGACAUCCUCUGACACUCUAGAGAUAGAGCGUUCCCCUUCGGGGACAGAGUGACAGUGUGCAUGGUUGUCGUCAGCUCGUGUCGUGAGAUGUUGGAUAGUCCCGCACGAGCGCACCUUGAUCUUAGUUGCCAGCAUUCAGUUGGGUACUC
rnacentral:rRNA from 2 species